rnacentral:rRNA from 1 species
UACAGAGGGUGCGAGCGUUGUUCGGAAUUAUUGGGCGUAAAGAGCUCGUAGGCGGUCUGUCGCGUCGGCUGUGAAAACUCGGGGCUCAACUCCGAGCUUGCAGUCGAUACGGGCAGGCUAGAGUUCGGCAGGGGAGACUGGAAUUCCUGGUGUAGCGGUGAAAUGCGCAGAUAUCAGGAGGAACACCGGUGGCGAAGGCGGGUCUCUGGGCCGAUACUGACGCUGAGGAGCGAAAGCGUGGGGAGCGAACAGG